rnacentral:lncRNA from 1 species
GCUAAUGCUGGCUUCCAUUGCAAUUAUAUGUUCUGUUGCAUUCAAAAAACAAUUGAAUAACCAAAAACAGAAAAGAGGACCCAAUAGGAAGUGGAUUCAGCAUAGAGAGAAUCGAGGUGUCAUGAACACUUUGGUAGAAGUUUAGAUAAUGUGAAUUUUUCUUCCUAUAUAAAUUUUAUUAUUGUAUUAUUCAAAUUUUUGAUUCAAAUUACAUCAUUAAGUGUAAAAAUGAAUAAAAUUUGGUUUAAAAUAUCAAAAUUUAUUUAAUAAACAUAGAUCAUCUGACAAACUUUAUGAAAAUAAACAAUGAGAAACUUUAUUAUCAAUAUAUACACAAUUAAUUUUAAAAUAAUUUCAUUUAUAUAUUAUUUUGAAAUUCCUUUUUUAAAUGGCCUGAAACCAACUGAUGUAUUUCCAUCAUUGUAGUUUGCCUUUCAGUUAAAGGCAAUUCCCUAAGCAUUUCAGCUAUGUUAGCCAAAAAGCCACUAAUGCCAUCAUUUGGAUUUGAAUUGUACUUUGAGCAGAUCUUUUCCGUUAAUGCAGAAGCAUUCCUCAUUACAUCUGUGCAUAAGUUCUUUGAUUUUGUGCUUUUAGCUGACACAGAUAAUGUUUGGGUUUCAGGAAUAUCAAUGCUAUUAUUACUGCUGUUAUCUACUGUGACAGCUACCGAAAAGAAAUCAAAAAGAUCAUUGUUGAAUGUUAUAAGUUGACAAAUUAUGGCCAGUUAGAUUUUGUUAUAUUAUUAUAGUUAAAUAUACAAGUACUUACAUCCUGGAAAGGUUCUAACAAAAAUGAGUCUAUACUUUCAUCACAGAUGAUGUCAUUUAAAAAAGCC